GACAGAGGGUGCGAACGUUGCUCGGAAUUACUGGGCGUAAAGCGCGUGUAGGCGGCUACGCGAGUCAGGUGUGAAAGCCCAGGGCUCAACCCUGGAAGUGCACUUGAUACUACGUAGCUGGAGUACUGAAGAGGAGAGCGGAAUUCCCGGUGUAGAGGUGAAAUUCGUAGAUAUCGGGAGGAACACCAGUGGCGAAGGCGGCUCUCUGGGCAGAUACUGACGCUGAGACGCGAAAGCGUGGGUAGCAAACAGG
rnacentral:rRNA from 1 species